GACAGGUGUGGUCUGUCACACGGUUGGGGAUGGUGUCAGGGAUGCAGGCCUUCCCCAGGUUCCCGUGGAUGUACAUGCUCACGUAAUGCUCCAUCACCUCUUGGGGAGUCCGGGAAGCACCGACGUGUGCAGCCAUAUCUUCCUGCGAUGACAAAGGGCAGAGGUUACUUCCAGCGCCAGGGUGUCAGAUUUAGGUUCUGCACAGAUUCUCUUCACGUUUUACAAAGGUUGACCUACAGUACUUCCUACAGCAGGGUUACCCACCCUCCCCAAAGGCAUUCGGUCACACACUCUCUCAUGAGCCGGGCUCAGGGGAGAGAUGACAAUGUUGGAAGCAACACACGUUGUUUCUAUACAUGAGGAGGUGAAGACCCAGAGAGGCACAAGCUGGCACAAGGUCUUGGGGUGAGCUGGUGGCAGAGCUGAGGCCAGAACCCCUGGCUGAGGUCUGGACUUUGUUCCCGUUCCCCACCUGGGACCAGAGGAGCACACCUGGUACUGCCAUUUUGCACCGCCAUAAACCCUGCACUCAGGGGCUGUCCAUCUGAAUGUCCCAGGACACAGCUGGGCAGGCCAGGGAAUGCUGAACUCGCCUCAUUCAGACUAGAAAACGGGCUUGUCCCAGGGUGUGAGGCCAGGCCAAGUGCAUGGCACUGCAGGAGGGGACCCAGUUCUACCAUGUUGCCGCCUCCUGGAAUAGAAAGGGCAGGACACUUCUGUGACACUUGUCCUGGCCGCACACCCAUCCUGGCCUUCAUGCCCGGGGGUGCUGACAUGGCCCUUUCCUAGGCAGUGACUGUGGAUGAUGGGCCUGUGGCUCUUCAAGGGAGCAGGCCUUCAUUUCUAGCACCUUCCUCGGUUAGCAGCUAGCUGGGCGUCUGCCACCGGCUGAAAGCAUUCAUCAUUCCUACAAGAGGGUAACCCAUAAAUACAAGGUUUAAUGGGAGGAAACUGUAUAACUCCCUCAAUCUUUUCCUUCUGCCGAGAGGCCUCUUCCUCAAAGUCAACCGCUAAAGCCACUUCAGAAAGUAACUGCCCAAAAUGCGCACUCAUUCCCUGGCCACCGCCUCUCAGCCACCCAGGCCCCACCUGCCUCUGCCCGCCUGGGUGUGGAACCAGCGCUGCAGCGCUGCCUGCAGCACAGCCAGAGGCCCAGCUGGAACCAGAGGGACCCGCGCCCCACCAGGCUGAUGACUAUGAGCUGGAGUCAGGGAGAGAAGUGCUCUGGGCUCCAGGAACGGACCCCACAGCUGGGGUUUCCUCUGGCACACGUGCCUGGAGCCGAGGUGCUGGGACCCUUCCCCCUCCCCCGCCACCUUGGGGCCAGGAAUGCCCAGGACUGUGACUACAGAAGGCAAUGCCAAAACUCAACUGUGGGGCCUCUUUGAGAAUCAUAAAGUAAAAAUAUUCGAGCUAAAUGUUGAUUGUGGUCUUAGAGGGCACUGACUGCUUCUUUUAGAAACAUCACUGUUUGCAGCAAAUCUGUUCAUUUUCUUUCCCCAGGAGGCAUUUGGCCUAAAACAAAACACAAAACCAAGUCACAACUAUCUCCAGCACCUGCUGCCACUCUGUGUGACCCAGGCUGGUCACUGCCCAUCUCUGAGCUCCGGGUGUGUCACUGCCAGAAGAGGAGACAUGUGCAGCCCCACGCACCUCACAUGGGUGAGAAAAGGCUUCAGGGCCACAGUGGGCCCCACAUGGCGAGCGCGAGUCCCCUCUCAUGGAGCAGCCGGGGCAGAGGCCAACGGGAGCUCAUGCUCUUCCCCCACAACCUUGGGGCCAGGGAGCCCCAGGAUCCGCAGUGGCCUCUGAAACAGGCAGGCAGCAGGGGCAGAGCCGACCUUGGCCUGUGCAGCUUCUCCAGCCCUCGGCACCAGCUUCUGUCGGAGGCUGCGGAGGGCUUUGUGGUGCCGGGCUGCUUACCCAAGGUCACAAGGUGAGCCAGUGGGGCCCCCUGGCAUUGGCCCUGGUCUCUCCAGCCAGUGAGACCAGCAGGGAAGAGGCCUGCAGACUUCUUACUCGCAGAGAUGUUUGUAAAAUACCUUACUUACUUGGCAAAUUUUCAAGUUAGCAACACUAGGUCAGCCUCCAAAAUCCUUCAGAAAUCUGGAAGUCUGGGAGCACGAACCCGUCAGCGUCAGCCGGACUCCUGAGUGUGCCCCGCGGGGUCUACAGCUGUCCCUGGCUCCUGCCUCACACCUCUAAGGAGCUUCCCAGCACCCAGCCAGACAUUGCAGGCCUGGCAGCGCCCACCCUGCUGGAGGUGCCCUAUGCUCCUCGUGCCCAGACUUAGGGCCAGGGCCCACCUGGUAGGGCGGUGAGGAGGCAGGUGCGGCCACAGCGUGUGCUCCGUCUCGGUAGCUUUCCCCAGCACUGGAUGCUGUCAGCUUCCCUCCCACAACUUCCCUUUAUCCCUCAAGACCAGGCUGCCGGGUCCAGGAAGCCUUCAGUGACCCCCAGGGCCAGGCUCAACUGUUCCAUCACUUGCGGUCCCUCUCAGCUUGUUUCCUGACCUGCCAUCCCUCCUUUUGCAGGUUUUAUCAAUACAAUUUAAAACAACAGCAGAUAAGUACGUCUAUGCCCAUCAUCCCGCUCAGUCCUUGCGUUUCCCACAGAGGAGGAGUGUUAUUACUGCCCUACAGUUUUCAGAUAAGGAAAGUAAACCUGAGGGUGAGCCCCCGCCAAGGGCACGAGGCCAGUGAACGCUGAGCCACUUCAAUACCAGGCAAUGUGGCUGGGAGCAUACACCCGUCACCACGCGCCCCCCACCAUCCCACGAUGCAGCGCACACCACAGGGGGCUCCUAGCUGCUUCCUGAUAUUGUGAUAAGAGGCAGAGCAAAGCCGGACCACUGGGCUUCUGCUCUUCCUUCUGGAACAAGCAUGUUGGAGAGGUGCCACAGCUCCGGCUGACCCUGCCCCCGUGAUGUGCAGUGAAGCUCAGGCCUUUGCACCCGGCGUCGUGCCCGAGGCUGCCAGCCCUGCAGACUCCAGAGCAUCUCCCGUCCCAGGCGAUGCUGCGACGCCCUGUGGCCCUGCUGUCCCUCAGUGGCCCCACUGCUGUCCUUUCCUCACCCCAUCUGGUCUUGGUCUGUGAAAGACGAGGCAGAGGACAGCUCAUCCCGGCCCAGGCUGGGCUUCCCCUGGUGGUUUGGGGCCAGGCGUCAUCUCCAAAGGGAGGCGCAGCUCCAGCUCCUUUUGCUCCAAAUGAAGAAGCCUCAAAAAGCCAGGAAGGCUCAGUUACCCAGGGAGCUGGGUGUAACGAAGUGGGUCCCACCAGGGAAGGGCAUUCUGUGGACAGAGCUCUUAAGGAGCAGCUGGGUACACUGGUGGCCCCUGCAGGGCCAGGAGGAAAUGGAAUCCGUGGGACAGGGGACUGAACCAUGUCCUAAAGGACAGGAGGGAACAGAGCAAGGUAAGAAACACACCAGCCACAGGCCGCAGGUGGCAGCGCGGGAGGGCUCCAAGCCGAGCCCAUGCACGCAUUUCCCAUCUGCACAGGUCAGAGAGCCCUGACAUGUCACCUGCCUGGCCAUUCCACAGAAGCAUGCAGACAUGGGAGGGCCCCACCUGCCACCCCGGGCCAUCAGCCCCUCUUAGGAGCUCCAAGCCCCACCUCCAUGCCCCAUGGGCUCCAGGCUGACUAGGCUGUCCUUAUCACCUUCCACAGCAAAGUCACUCCAGCACCUCCAGUCUCAGCUCAGCCUCAGACACUGGGCCGACGACUAGGGCCACCUGCAGCUGGCGGCAGGACAGAGCGGCCGGGCAAAGAAGAACUGAGAGCAGGAUCUUGAAGACAUCCCUGAACACCAUGUUCAUAGCAGCCUUAUUCACAUUUGCCAAGAGGUGGAGGCAACCGAAUGUCCAUCACAGAUAUGUAGAUAAACACAAUAUGCCACAGAGAUGACAAUGGCCGUGCCGACACAUGCCACAACACAGAUGAUCCCUGAGGACAUGACGCAAAGUGAAAUAUGCCAGUCGGAAAAGGACAAAUCCCGCAGGACCCACUUAUAUGAGGUCCCUAGCGCCACAGACAGGAAGUAGAAUA